UGAUAGCCAUGGAUAUAAUUGAGGUAUCUGUUUCAUUCAUAGUUCUUAAACUCUCCCAUUGUUUGGUCACAUUAUGAAUUUGAGCUGUUGAUAGAUAUGAAACUUAAGAUGCUUUUCUCCUCUUGAGUUAUGGUUCCAAUUGUUAUAAAUCUGAAGACUGGUGGUGUUGUAUUUUAUGUCUGGGCCCUGGGGAUGUGGACUUACUCCUCAUUCUUGGGCUUCUGCAUUUGGGCUACAUCUCUUUGUCAAAAUUGCCUAAGUUAUUUUAAAUUUGCUGGGCCACUCUUUUUAAGGUUUCCCUCCCUUUCCCAUCCAAUGUGGGAAUUAUUCCACACUCAUCCUCUAACUACUAGCUGCUGCACAUAUAGCAAUCAUGUGAAUGUUAUAGUUGUCAAAACAUCUCUGCCAUCUUGUGACUGCUGUUUCUACUAAAACCAAAAAUGUUGAAAAUGUAAAUUUGUUGAAGGAAACAUGGAUGUCCGCUAUUAGCUGCAGUGAUGCUUUCUCAUUUUGUUCUUUUUUUCCCUCCUCCAUAUCUCAAGGUGAACUAUUUAAAUUCCAUCACACGUUUGAAAUACACCCUUGUAUUAGUGAUGUAGAACCAAGAGCAAGAAGAAAGAAAAAUAAGGACCAAUCCUUGAGAAAAGGAAAUAAUUCUCAGAAAUUAUAUUAAUCUCAAAUAAAUGUCAUAACAAAGCUUAAUUAAUAACGAUAGAAACCCUAAAUCUUAUUUAUAGAAUUAGGAACCUGAUCAUAUUAGAAUUUUAGAACCCU
rnacentral:misc_RNA from 1 species